AUGGAUGAAAUGGCUACCACUUACAUUUCCAAAGAUGAACUUGAUGAACUCAAAGAGGCCUUUCCAAAAGUUGAACCAGAGACCUGAAGAGAUCUCAACAGCAAUGGAUUCAUUCGUGACUAUGAACUUCAUGGGCUUUUCAAGGAAGCUAAUAUGUCAUUACCAGGAUAUAAAGUGAGAUAAAUUAUUCAGAAACUCAUGCUGGAUGGUGACAGGAAUAAGGAUGGGAAGAUAAGUUUUGAUGAAUUUGUUUAUAUUUUUCAAGAGGUAAAAAGCAGCGAUAUUGCCAAGACCUUCCGCAAAGCAAUCAACAGGAAAGAAGGUAUUUGUGCUCUUGGACGAACAUCAGAGUUGUCCAGCAAAGGAACACAGCAUUCUUACUCAGCAGAAUAAAAAUAUGCUUUUAUUAACUGGAUAAAUAAAGCUUUGGAAAAUGAUCCCAAUUGCACCUGUUAUACCAAUGAACCCAAACACUGAUAACCUGUUCAAAGCUGUUGGUGAUGGAAUUGUGCUUUGUAAAAUGAUCAACCUUUCAGUUCCUGAUACAAUUGAGAAAAGAAUAAUCAACAAGAAGAAACUUACACCCUCCAUCAUUCAGGAAAACUUGAACUUGGCACUGAACUCUGCUUCUGCCACUGGGUGUCACGUUGUGAACAUUGGUUCAGAGGAUUUGUGGGCUGGAAAACCUCAUCUGGUUUGGGGACUACUUUGGCAAAUCAUUAAGAUUGGUUUGUUCACUGACAUUGAAUUAAGCAGGAAUGAAGCUUUGGCUGCCUUACUUCGAGAUGGUGAGACUUUGGAGGAGCUUAUGAAAUUAUCUCCAGAAGAACAUCUGCUCAGAUGGGUAUACUUUCAUUUGGAAAACUCAGGCUGGCAAAAAAAAAAUCAACAACUUCAGUGCUGACAUCAAGGAUUCCAAAGCCUAUUUCCAUCUUCUCAAUCAAAUUGCACCAAAAGGACAAAAGGAAGGUGAAUCACAGAUAGAUAUUAAUAUGUCAGGUUUCAAUGAAACAGAUGAUUUGAAGCGAGCUGAGAGUAUGCUUCAACAACCAGAUAAAUUAGGUUGCAGACAGUUUGUUACCCUUGCUGAUGUUGUCGGUGGAAACCCCAAACUCAACUUAGCCUUUGUGGCUAACCUGUUUAAUAAAUACCUGGCACUAAAUAAGCCAGAGAACAAGGAUAUUGACUGGACUCUAUUAGAAGAAACUUGUGAAGAAAGAACCUUCUGCAACUGGAUGAACUCUCUCAGUGUUAAUCCCCCCGUAAACCAUCUCUAUGCUGACCUGCAAGAUGCCCUGGUAAUCUUACAGUUACAUGAAUGAAUGAAAGUUCCUGUUGACUGGAGUAAGGUUUACAAACCUCCAUACUCGAAAGUUGGAGCCAACAUGAGAAAGCUAGAAAACUGCAACUACGCUGUUGAAUUAGGGAAGCAUCCUGCUAAAUUCUCCCUGGUUAGCAUUGGAGGGCAAGACCUGAAUACUGGGAACCCAACUCUGACUUUAGCCUUAAUCUAGCAGCUGAUGAGAAGAUAUACCCUCAUUGUCCUGGAAGAUCUCGGAGAAGGUCAGAAAGCUAACGAUGGCAUCAUUGUGAACUGGGUGAAUAGAACAUUGAGUGAAGCUGGAAAAUCAACUUCCAUUCAGAGUUUUAAGGAUAAGAUGAUCAGCUUCAGUUUGGCAGUUGUGGAUUUAAUUAAUGCCAUCCAGCCAGGCUGCAUAAACUAUGACCUUGUUAAGAGCAGUAAUCUAACAGAAGAUGACAAGCACAAUAAUGCCAAGUACGCAGUGUCAAUGGCUAGAAUAAUUGGAGCCAGAGUGUAUGCUCUCCCUGAAGACCUUGUGGAAGUAAAGCCCAAGAUGGUUAUGACCGUGUUUGCAUGUUUGAUGGGCAGGGGAAUGAAGAGAGUGUAAAAUAACCAAUCUGAAUAAAACAACCUUGCUCCCAGGUGCAUGCUUCACAGGUCAGCUAUUUCCAUGUGAAGUGCUCAUG